rnacentral:lncRNA from 1 species
GUACCCUGGUAGGGACAGGAGAAAGCCAGCCAACCCCCAGGACAAGUCAAGGACCUGGUGCGAGAUUACCCAGCUGGAAGACACUGAGCCUGGAGGAUGAGAACUCUGGUCCGUCAAGGAAUGGAGUCCAGGUCGGUCUCUGUGCUAGCUCUCAAGAUGCCCAGGUGAGAAGACGCGGACUCUGCCCUCAAGUUGUUCCCAGCUGAGAGAAAAGGGAGAAGCCAACACUCAGGAUGUGCUGGGAUGGAGCUGGCUGUGGAGUGGGGAGAAGACACUUUGAAAGUUCCUCACAGACCUGUCUAUUGAUGUUCUUGGUUCCACUCUUCAGAUCUCAGCCAGUAAUCAAUCAGGAGUCCCCACUGACACUGGUGCUGCACAUUGAGGCCCUAGCCACUGGGCACACACAUGCCGUACUAUAUAAUUCUGUACCACAGAACAGCCGAGGGCAUAUUAGAGCAGAAAGAGACCUCUGCAGUCAUCUGGUCCACCACUGUCUCUCAAUCCACGAGGAUCUUGAAGGCCAGAGGUGUGAGGUGACAUAUCCAGCAGGAGCCUACCUGGAGUGGGUGCAAGAACCAGAAUCGGCAUGUGAAUUUCCUGCUCCCAGGUCAAUUCUCUAUCUUCCUUGACUACUACCUCUCAGGCAUCCACAGCCACAUUAAGGAAGGGGAGAUAGGAAGGGGUGAGAGAGAAGAGAUGAGGCACAGAUUCUGAUAAGACAAUAAAUCAUCUGACUGCAAAUUCUAACUGGAUUUG